GGGCGUGAGAACGGAGAGUGCCAGUGAUUGAGUGAGAAUUAACAACAAAGCGUCUGCUUUACCAAGGAGCUUCUUUUGCAUACCUUGGAGUCCGAAAAGAACAUAUUUUCUAAAUUCCUCUUUAAAAUGACAAAAUAGGAUUUAUUUCUACGUCUUAACAGUCUAUUUGAAGGUAAGAAUUUAAUAUCCAAGCAUGCUUUUACCAAGCUCCUUGCAAGAGGCCAUAGACUUUGUUACUAAAGCAACAGAAGAAGACAAGAAUAAAAACUAUGAAAAAGCUUUCCUUCAGUACCAACUUGGAGUAAAAUGUUUCGAGUAUGCUAUAAUGUAUGAAAUUGAUGGUGAGAGAGCUAAGGAAUGCGUUCGAGUUAAGUGUCUCCAAUUUGUAGAUAGAGCCACGAUGAUAAAGAAAUUUCUCGAAAAGAAACCAGCAAGGUGUGGUAAAUCCUUAGUCCGGAGUAAAGACAAAAUGAGCGACAGUGACAGCGACUCUGACGAUCCUGAGAAGAAUAAGUUACAAAGAAAGCUGUGCUGUUGGAAAUUUUUGUAAGGGCACCGGAAAUACGUGACUAUCUUCAAGCAUCAACUAUGAAACAAAAAUUAUGAGCAAAAGUAUCGCUGCAUACAAACUGUUACUGUUACUUAAUUGUUUAUUAAGUUACUCUUAUUAUUUAUGUAUUAUACAAAGCCAUGGCGCUUUAAAGGCUUUAUAUUAUACUCGUAAAUUGUAUAGAAGACAAAUUAAUCAGUCACUCUCUUGUUCAGAUUUUCAAACUGACGAAGCUGACUUCGUCUGCUAAGACCUGGUAAAUCGGAGGCA